GAUGAACGCUGGCGGCGUGCCUAAUACAUGCAAGUCGAGCGAACAGAUGAGGAGCUUGCUCCUCUGACGUUAGCGGCGGACGGGUGAGUAACACGUGGAUAACCUACCUAUAAGACUGGGAUAACUUCGGGAAACCGGAGCUAAUACCGGAUAAUAUAUUGAACCGCAUGGUUCAAUAGUGAAAGACGGUUUUGCUGUCACCUAUAGAUGGAUCCGCGCCGCAUUAGCUAGUUGGUAAGGUAACGGCUUACCAAGGCAACGAUGCGUAGCCGACCUUAGAGGGUGAUCGGCCACACUGGAACUGAGACACGGUCCAGACUCCUACGGGAGGCAGCAGUAGGGAAUCUUCCGCAAUGGGCGAAAGCCUGACGGAGCAACGCCGCGUGAGUGAUGAAGGUCUUCGGAUCGUAAAACUCUGUUAUUAGGGAAGAACAAAUGUGUAAGUAACUAUGCACGUCUUGACGGUACCUAAUCAGAAAGCCACGGCUAACUACGUG
rnacentral:rRNA from 1 species